UACGGGGGGGGUAAGCGUUGUUCGGAAUUACUGGGCGUAAAGGGCUCGUAGGCGGCCAACUAAGUCGGACGUGAAAUCCCUCAGCUUAACUGGGGAACUGCGUCCGAUACUGGAUGGCUUGGAUUUGGGAGAGGGAUGCGGAAGUCCAGGUGUAGCGGUGAAAUGCGUAGAUAUCUGGAGGAACACCGGUGGCGAAGGCGGCAUCCUGGACCAAUAUUGACGCUGAGGAGCGAAAGCCAGGGGAGCAAACGGG
rnacentral:rRNA from 1 species